rnacentral:rRNA from 1 species
AGCUCGAUGAGUAGGGCGGGACACGUGGUAUCCUGUCUGAAUAUGGGGGGACCAUCCUCCAAGGCUAAAUACUCCUGACUGACCGAUAGUGAACCAGUACCGUGAGGGAAAGGCGAAAAGAACCCCGGCGAGGGGAGUGAAAAAGAACCUGAAACCGUGUACGUACAAGCAGUGGGAGCACAGAGCAAUCUGUGUGACUGCGUACCUUUUGUAUAAUGGGUCAGCGACUUAUAUUCUGUAGCAAGGUUAACCGAAUAGGGGAGCCGAAGGGAAACCGAGUCUUAACUGGGCGUUAAGUUGCAGGGUAUAGACCCGAAACCCGGUGAUCUAGCCAUGGGCAGGUUGAAGGUUGGGUAACACUAACUGGAGGACCGAACCGACUAAUGUUGAAAAAUUAGCGGAUGACUUGUGGCUGGGGGUGAAAGGCCAAUCAAACCGGGAGAUAGCUGGUUCUCCCCGAAAGCUAUUUAGGUAGCGCCUCGUGAAUUCAUCUCCGGGGGUAGAGCACUGUUUCGGCAAGGGGGUCAUCCCGACUUACCAACCCGAUGCAAACUGCGAAUACCGGAGAAUGUUAUCACGGGAGACACACGGCGGGUGCUAACGUCCGUCGUGAAGAGGGAAACAACCCAGACCGCCAGCUAAGGUCCCAAAGUCAUGGUUAAGUGGGAAACGAUGUGGGAAGGCCCAGACAGCCAGGAUGUUGGCUUAGAAGCAGCCAUCAUUUAAAGAAAGCGUAAUAGCUCACUGGUCGAGUCGGCCUGCGCGGAAGAUGUAACGGGGCUAAACCAUGCACCGAAGCUGCGGCAGCGACGCUUAUGCGUUGUUGGGUA